rnacentral:rRNA from 1 species
UACGUAGGGUGCAGGCGUUAAUCGGAAUUACUGGGCGUAAAGCGCGCGUAGGUGGUUUGUUAAGUUGGAUGUGAAAUCCCCGGGCUUAACCUGGGAACUGCGUUUGAAACUACAAGGCUAGAGUGUGACAGAGGGGGGUGGAAUUCCACGUGUAGCAGUGAAAUGCGUAGAGAUGUGGAGGAACACCGAUGGCGAAGGCAGCCCCCUGGGGUUAACACUGACGCUCAGGCACGAAAAGCGUGGGGAGCAAACAGG